rnacentral:lncRNA from 1 species
AGAGAGAGAGAGAGAGAGAGAGAGAGAGAGAACAUAAUUUAAUGUUCCUGGUCCCAGGUGUUCCUUAUUUUGUUUUUUUCAUUGCAGUUCUAAACAGCAAGGUGCAUAUCCCUUAGUGAAAUCAAGUCAGCACCCCACAAAACCUGUAGCCUUUAAAUGUUUUUUUUUUUUUAAGAAAAAAAUCUUUUCAGCAGAAGAGUGGCAAGCAUGUAUCCAUAAGGAAUCCUUUUUCAUCCUUGGUAUUUAGGCAACACCCAAGCUCUUCACUGAUAACUGCGCUAGAGACACUUACUUCCUAACUGGUGAUCUCCCUCCCAGCAGACAUGCUCUGAACCUGGAAAUAAAUCAUGUGUCUCUAAGCUUCCUAGAGCCAUGAGUCCCUGUGAGAACCCGAUAGAAACGCUGAACCCUCCCAUACCUCAAACUCACAUCCACAUGAAGCCUCACGAUAGCGUUGAGGGGUUCGUGACUGGUGAUGAUUAAAGAGACUACACUCAUUCUUCAUCAAUCACACUGCAACAGGCACUAUACACUUCCAGACCAUUUUCCUGUGAUUCUCAGGAGGGCUGAGUCUCAGCACCAGAGUUUGAACCAAGGUUUCAGCACUUCAACUCUUUAGAUUAGAUAUGACUAGCUAGAUGUCUUUAUGCCCUAACAUAUUCAUGAUUUUGAGUAGCAAGCAUUCUCCAAGGCAAAGACUCUCUGAGGGAGUCCAAGAUGAGUCCACAGAUGUCAGCUGUGACAAUAGAACAGGAUACCAAGCACUCUAGAGCCUGGUUUGGGGACUCCCUUGGAAGCAAGGGAGAGAAAGAACAAGCCUACAUGUCUCUGUUUGUUGUGAUCACCUGAGAGAACGAACAUGACCUGGGGUGUGUGUGUGUGUGUGUGUGUGUGUGUGUGUGUUAUUUUCAAUCCCACCUCCUUCCAUUUCUGGGUUCUCUGUGUACCAGUGUGGCAUUGAUUCUCUAGCCUUGUGCAGACAGCUUGUGUUCAGCUCAUUUGUUCCACCAUUCCCCUGAUGGAGGGGACCUUAAUUACCUGCCUCUGUGAAUUAAACAGCUUGUGAGUAGCCAGUCAUUGAAGACCAUACAUAAAUAAAGUCAUAGAGGGCUCAAGGAAGAGAUAGCUUGUUUAAUCAUCCCCUUCAUAGGUGCCAAUUUUUAUAUACUACGAUGUGUAAUGAUUUGUUCUAAAUUGCUUGCUUGUUCCUUUUGGGAAAGAAAUGAAGAAUGUUUUAUAAAAAUGGCCAUGAAGGUUUCCUGAUUAACCGCCAUAUUUUAUAUUUACAGUUAGAAACUGAUAGAUUUGAAUGAAGUGCUAGAAAGCAAGAGGAUAAUUGUCAUGGGCAGUUUGUGUGUGUGCAAGCCAAAAGGAGGGCAGUCAGAGUGUGGCACUUUAGAGGACUGGAUGUUUCUUUAAAGUUGAAGCUUCCAGGGCCAGUUACUAUUUAGCACUUUGAAAGUUCCCCCUUUAAAAUAUAUAUAAAUAUAUACAUAUACAAGAAUAAUGAAAUGGGGGGGUUGUACUUGUGAAAACACAAAAUGUGUUUCUUCUGAAUGUUACAAUUGUAUUUUAAAAUCUGGUUUCUAUAGAUAACAUUAUGGUAGAUCACUGGAUAGUACGUUUUUUUUUUCUUUUUUUUCUGCAGCUGUACAGUCUAAUCUUCCUGGAUGUUUGGGCUGUUUGAUUUCUUUAAAGAUAAUAAGCAUUAUCCAGUUAUCCAUCAUGCUAUAUCUAUAGGCUAUGCCAUGUGACAUAUUGGGCAAUGCUGUAUUAUUAAAAAAAAAAAAAAAAAAAAAAAAAAAAAAACACAUGU